GUAUACCCAUUGCACAGCAGUCCUGCAUUCUCCCUCUCUGCCAGUCCCUGCAGCCAUCCAUUCUCUAAUUCUAUGAAUUUGACUAUUUCACAUUCCUCAUGUGAGUGGGAUCCUGCAGGUUUUGUACUGUGUGUGGCUUGUGACACUAUGUCCUCAAGGUUCACCCAUGUUGGAGCAUGUGACAGGAUUUCCAUCUAUUUUAAAGUUGAAUAAUAUAAUGUUGCAUUGUGAAUAUGUGUAUGAGAGAGAGAGAGAGAGAGAGAGAGAGAGAGAGAGAGAGAGAGAGAGAGAGAAGGAAGGAGAAAAUGAAGGAAACAGGGAGAGAGAGAGAGAGUCUGUUUCCACAUCUAGGGUUUCAAUGUGUUUGGAGAAAUCUCCAGAAGCAGGCUUGCUGAAUCACCUGGUCAUUGUAUUUUUGUUCAUGGAACCUCCAUGCUGUUUCUGGGUGACUGCAUCCUUGGACGCUCCCAGCCACAGCUCACGAGCCCUCCCUUUUCUCCCCGCCCUCCCCAGCGCUGGCCAUCUUUUGCUCAUUUUGAUGGUGGCCCUCGGAACAGGGGCAGGGUGGUAUCUGAUGGUGGUUUUCAAUGAUAUCUCCCUUCCCAUAGACCUGCAGGCCAUUCGUUUCUCUUCUUUUGGACACCCCCUUUUGUACCCUGGUGUUCCCGUAUGCCAUCCACCACAAACAUUUCUCCACAUAUUCUUUGCUCUGUGGCCAGGCGCAGUGGUGCAUGCUGGUAAUCCCUGCAGCAGCUCAGGAGGCUGAGGCAGGAGGACUGCAAGUUUGCGACCAGCCUCAGCACCUUAGAGAGACUCUGUGUCUAAACAAAAUAUUUUUAAAAGGUGGAGCUGUGUAUGGCUUAGUGCUUAAGCACCCCUGGGUACCAAAAAACAAAACAAAACAAAAAACUAAUACUGG
rnacentral:lncRNA from 1 species